rnacentral:rRNA from 1 species
AACGAACGCUGGCGGCAUGCCUAACACAUGCAAGUCGAACGAGACCUUCGGGUCUAGUGGCGCACGGGUGCGUAACGCGUGGGAACCUGCCCUUAGGUUCGGAAUAACUCCCCGAAAGGGGUGCUAAUACCGGAUAAUGUCUUCGGACCAAAGAUUUAUCGCCUUUGGAUGGGCCCGCGUUGGAUUAGCUAGUUGGUAGGGUAAAAGCCUACCAAGGCGACGAUCCAUAGCUGGCCUGAGAGGAUGAUCAGCCACACUGGGACUGAGACACGGCCCAGACUCCUACGGGAGGCAGCAGUGGGGAAUAUUGGACAAUGGGCGAAAGCCUGAUCCAGCAAUGCCGCGUGAGUGAUGAAGGCCUUAGGGUUGUAAAGCUCUUUUACCCGGGAUGAUAAGGACAGGACCGGGAGAAUAAGCUCCGGCUAACUCCGU